rnacentral:rRNA from 1 species
AGCUCCAAUAGCGUAUAUUAAAGUUGCUGCGGUUAAAAAGCUCGUAGUUGGAUUUCUGCCGAGGACGACCGGUCCGCCCUCUGGGUGUGUAUCUGGCUCGGCCUGGGCAUCUUCUUGGGAUCGUUCCUGCACUUGACUGUGUGGGUUCGAGACCAAGUUUUUUACUUUGAGGAAAUUAGAGUGUUCAAAGCAGGCAUACGCCUUGAAUACACUAGCAUGGAAUAAUAAGAUAGGACCUCGGUUUUAUUUUGUUGGUUUCUAGAGCUGAGGUAAUGAUUAAUAGGGAUAGUUGGGGGCAUUCGUACUUAACUGUCAGAGGUGAAAUUCUUGGAUUAGUUAAUGACGAACUACUGCGAAAGCAUUUGCCAAGGAUGUUUUCA